CACUUUACCUCUUUGGACCUCAGUUUCCUUAUCUAUAAAUCUGGACUUGAUGAUAUUUUACAAACCUUCCAGCUCUAAAGUGUUAUGACUCUAUAAAAUGGGAUGGGUUGUUGAAUUAUGACAAAAGUACUCUUUCAUUUUAUAUGACCUUAGAGAAGAACAAUGCCCUCAGAUGAUGUGACAUUUUCCAGCUCUAACUUGCCUCAUUAAUUCAGGAUUGAAGCAAUAACAGAUGGGAUUGACAGUGAAAUUGAAAUUGAAAUUAGCACAUAAAUUAUAUAGAAAACUAUUAAUUUGGUAUAGCAAACCAUGGUUGUUCACAAAGUUUGGGAUAAUAGUUUUGUUGAGGAAAGUUUCUUCAUUGGUUAAAAGUUCAUGGAUCUGUUUCUCUUAAACUAAUUCCUCUUAAUGAAAUUCAAACUAGUUGAAAAGUUUUCUGAAAUUAUUAAUUUGAGUCUAAAAAUCUUUAAAAAUCUUAAUUCAAGUCCAAUAUGGAGAAUAGGAAUGCAGUAAAUAUGAGUUCCUAUGCUUUUCUUUUUUCUUUCUCGUCCUAUCAUAGCUCCCAGCCUAAUGGCACUGGAGUCUACUGAACACAUUCAUUUAUGUGAACUGCUGCUUUGCUGAGCUGUUUUCUGUAAAAGGAGGAGAAGACUCAAAAGCCCCUUCCCAGAAAUCAGCUGGGAUCUGCAACCUGUCAGAACUCCCCAGUGGGGGCUGUGAGCUAAAGCACGAUCAAUUCCAACUUCCUUAAACUUUGCAAGGGAUGGUUUGCCAAGAUCUCAAUUUCAGAGUUAUACUUUACUGCUCAGGGAAUCAGUCAGUUGCCUUUAAAUGCUUCUCAUAAAAAUUAGAUACCAAUGUAGUUCUCUAACAGCCAAGGGAAUUUAUAGAAGGCAUGGAACUUAGCAAAGAAUACUUGAUAUGUAGAAAUUUCAGAACCAAUGAUUUCUGUUUCAGGAGUAUCUGUUGCAAUUACAGACUCAAAAUCAGAAAGAAAAAAAAGUCCUGUCCUUCCUCUCAGCUGAAGCUUUUUGUCACUGAGUUCACAGAAAGUUGGCUGAGGAAAACCUUUUAUAAAUAUGGAUUUAUGUAUACCCCUUCCAUCAACUGCAUAGAGGACAGAGAAUAUAGCUGGUAGAGAGAAGGAAAAUGUAGGUAAGAGAAAUAUCUGCUGGACCAAGUAAAACAACCAGAACUUUCCCAAAUAUCAACAACAGCAAAAAAUCCAGGAAGUCCAUAUUUUGUAUAAGCAUGAUGGAAAGAAAUGAAGCCUCCCAAAAGAGGGCACUUACAGUGAGAUUUGAGCACUUGCAGAUGCAAAGAUUAAGGAUUGUGUAAAUAUUAUCUCCAGGGACCUGAAGGUAGAAACAGCUCAUCACACAGUGAAAAACUGCAGACCUAUAGGUCUCACAGAAGAGAAUCAGCAACAAGGGAAACAAGGGAACACGGGAAUGUUGUCACCAGCCUACUCCUCUGGCCCAUGGAGGAGCAAGUGGAGGUUGACACCAGUGCAUUGAGUGGUAUUUUCAAUCAUGGUAAUUAAGAUUAACUUAACAGGUAAUAAGGUGGAAUGCUGGUCAGAGAGCUCACAAAGGAAGGAGAUCAGGUCUUGUAUGUGAGCAGGAUUUUUGGAAAUGUCUCUCAACUCCAGAGAAACUUCUGUAAUUAGUAGCAGGGACUUCUGCAACCUCUGUAAUUAGUAACAAAUAGUAGCCACUUUGAGCUUUCGUGUGUAAGUGAAACGCCAGUGAGCAUGCCCCAGUAAUGAUAAAUGCUCUGAAAACGUUCUUCGUGAGGGGCUAGUUUUGUGAAAUGAGCUAUGUAAAUGUGGAGCCAAAGAUAAAUUGUAGAGACAACAGAGAAGGUACUGCUCAUGGUUUUCCUUCCUUGCUCUGCCCUCAUGCUUUGACUCCAAAUCAAAUAUUGAGUGAACAUGUUAAAAAUAUCUGUUUGAAGUUGGACACAGUAUUAGUCUGUCUGAGAUGCCCAUGUGUCUCUGUCCAGCCAGUGUAAAAUUCAAACAGCUCCUAGUUCAAAGCUUGGCUUGAGUAACUCUCAACAAACCCUUGAUUAUUUUCACAAAGAACCGAUGUCCAAGACUCCUAGAGAUGCUGUUGUAGAACCCUUCUAGUUUGUCCAAUGUGCAGCAUCCCUGACUAGCAGAGGUGAGUUUCUAGGACUCUCUAAAAAACCAACUCCUAUAAAAAGCAGUUUUAUAGCCCAUUUCCAUCUGGAUAAACUACAGUUUCCAUUUGUAUUUCAUUAACUCUUUUCCAUUUUAGUUCUCUCAUUUCAAAACAUCACGCAUGCUACAACUGGUCUUAUCUGUCAGAGUCCCUUGUAAAAAGUGGUUUAGAAAUAUCUCGAUAAUGUCUCACUUAGAAGAGGCUAAUAUCUGGUGGCUAAUAUAUCCAGUCUGUUUCCAAUAUCUAGUUGAAAAAAGAAGUCAGUAAUAAAUUAUUUGUUCCUACAAACGCAGAGGGUUUUAGUAAAUUUGUUGCAGUGGAUCUGUAUGGUGUGUGUAUGUGCAUAUGUGUGGCACUACAUGUUAUCAGAGAACAUGAACUUGUGUACAGGAUUACAUGUGACAGAACAAUGUCCUGAAUAAUUAAAAACAUAGUAAUUUAUUAUUCUUAACCUGAUAGUGUAUUCCAAGUUACUUAAAUCUUCCUAGGCCACCCUUUUGCAUGAAACCAACAACAUACCCACUUACUUUUAGGUAUGCUUAACACCCCACCUUGACAGAGUUCCUGUUCUUUUAGAGCUGGGCAUCCAAGACAACCAGUAUGUGUCCACCUCUGUGAUCAAGCUGUUCAGAGCAGUAGAGGUUCCUGCUAGGCAUAAGUUUGAGACUGUCCCAAAAGCUCCAAAGAGAGAAGGAAGGUUAAUUCCAGGCUGAAAUGCGACCAGUGUGAACACUUAGCUGCUCCAAGGAAUCAAGACCAAGGAAAAUAGAAGUGCAAGCCCCUUCUUCAUAAGUGACCAGUGGGAGACUCACUUCCUCCUCUGAUCUCAUGCUUAUGAGCAACAAAUGCAGUUUUAGAAAGAUGCUAGCGUUCCCCACCCCUCACCCACUUUGCCUGUGUGUCAAGGUGUGUCCAAGUCAUUCUACUCAACGGGAGACACAUGGUUCAAUUUCACCCAUUUGGUGGGUUUCUGAAAAUGAGAAAAAUAAUUCCAGUUCCUUUAUGUAAUUUGAAAAUUAACUUAGAUACUCCUCUAAGAUGAAAAAAAAGCUCAUACCCAUGUGAUGAGAGAAAGCAGGAAAGUAGCUGAGUUCUGUUCUUUUUUGCUUUGCUCAGCUCUGCUGCAUGGGACUCAGAUGAGUAUUUCUGUCAAAGGAGUUUCAAAUCUAAUGUUCGACUAGGAAAUUCAUAAUCCUUUGAGAGGAAACAAACGAGUGGUUUUAGAGAAACUAGACUGACUAGAUUCAAAUCCAAGUCCUACCACCCUAGUUAUGUGACCUUGAACAUUCACUCAACUCAUUUUCUUCACCUCUAAAAUAUGAUACUGUUAGUAUCUGUCCUUAGAGUUAAUAUGAGGAUUAAAUAAAUAGUAUCUUUAAGAGGUUUAAUAGGAAAAAAUCAGUAUGUAUUAGGUACUAUUAUUAUUUUCAACUAGGCGAUGGACUCUGGUUUUUAUCCUCAGUUCCAAUUGGCAGCUAAAAUAUCUCACUACCUCCCCCUCCAAGUUACUCUUCUUAAUCUUGAAUAUGGAAAGUUAGAGUCAUGGAGUGUAUCAUAGAGAAUGGUGCUAUGGAGACUUGGAGUUUGUGUGCCAAUGAGAAGAAAAGAAAGCCAAAGAACAGAAACAGGAGCAUCUUUUCACUGACCAGAACUAGAAUGGUCCUGUUAGGCCAGUUAGGCUGUACAGCCUUUUGUUCCUUUGAUUCCUCUUUCUUCUCUAAUCUCAAGUUAGAGGUGCCUCCCUCUCCUUCAAAAAUGAAGGCUAAGUAUCAGAGUGUCUGUGAAUUUUCAGACUGCAAGGGGCUGGUUUUGAGGAAAGUAAUGGCAAGAAACACACUGUCUUUGGAGAGUAUAUUUUGUUGUAAUUAAGGGAAAUGAUCAGCUUUACUUCUCUUGCAGAAAUAGGCAUUGCCAAUUGAGUGGUAAAAUAUGUAGGAAUGAGGAACCACAGCAGAUUCUUAUUUUAGUUAUGUUCUGUAAAGUUGCUACAAACACUGAAUCAGCAAAUACUGAACCAUUGCUCCUUAAUAGGGUUAGGUUCCUGUGAGCCUCUGGUCACAACAGUUUCUUUAACCAAUCAACACAUAACCCUAUUUUAUGUAGGUUUCUGUUUAAAGAUACCUUAUUUAAUAUAUACGGUUUGUUCCUUAAUAUUUAACCCGUGGCCAACAGCAAGCUUAUAUAAUGCACAUAUUUUCUCCGUAAGACCCAUCACAGCAUUUUUGCACUUAAGAACAGUAGGCAGCAUUUCACCAUUAUCUUUAAGGGCCAUGUUAAACACCAAAAUCAUCAAAAAGGGACAUAAAGAGGCAAAAAAUCUGGCAUUAAAUAGACUGUAAAAAGAACACUUGUUUACAGUGAGAGGAGCUGAGAGGAGAAGGCAGAGUGUCACCCUGUUCAGUGUCAGCUGGGAUAUGCUCAUUAGGGAAUUCAUGGUUUUUACUCUUCUGUACAUUGUCCACGCAUGACUACAAAAGCACCACAAGUAUGGAUUUGGGGGCCACAAAUAAAUUUUAAUGAGUAAGCAAAUUCGCAAAUACAGAAUCCAUGAAUAAUGAGGAUAGAGUACCAGUGUACUCUUCCAGCAGUGUAUAUAAAUUCCUCUGUUCUACAUUCUCACAGCACUUGGUGGUUUCAGAUUUUCAUUUUUACAAUUUGGUGAAUGGUUUUAUGUGUAGUUACCUCAUUAUAGCUCUCAAUGCCUUUAACAUAAAUGGUACACAAUAGGCACUUGAUGUAUAUUCAAUGAAUUAAUACACAGCCCACAGAAUCGAACUAGUUUGCAAAUUAGGAAAGCUUCCAUAAAAGUUCAUUUUUUUUAGGCUUUAUUGGAACACUGCGGUAUCUUUUUUAAAUGUCAGGCAGAUCAGUUACCUUGUCAAAUUCACAAAGAACAAAAAGUGCUAUAAAUACGUUUACAUUAUUUUUUUGUGAAUUUUUUUUCUCUUCACUCAUUUAGAGGCAUUCAGGUGAUUUCUAAUUAUUGCACACACAAAAGAAAAUGUCAUGGUAUAUUGAAACAUUAUUUCCUCUACUUCCUCCAUCCAGUAGCCUUUAGGGAUUGAAAACAAAAUCCUUAAAUUUUAAAUCAAGGUUGAAACUGUACCAAACUUUACCAGGAGGAAUAAGGUCCAAUAUAUAGCAUAUAUAUAGUUGUUUUAUACUCUCUGGUUUUUGACCUUUUUGAAUAUAAGAAAUGAUUAAUUAGUUUUAUUCGUGAAUGUUUACUUUCUUUCUAAAUGUACUUUCAAUCCUUAUGUCUUCAGUGUAGUUUGGAUGUUUCUUCUAAGAACAUAGUAUUCACUUUCCAAGUCUCAUGUGAGACACCAGCUUUAUUUGUUUAAAUUACUUGGAAAAUUUUAUAGUCAUAUAGUAUUUAACUUGGCAGUUUCAUAUAGGAGCAUAGAAAGGAAAGCUGCCUUAAGUUUCACUAAAAUGUGAAAAGACAAGUCAUGGCAUCCUCAAUCUUUCAUAGCCUUCUCUAAAAUGGCUUAUUUACAUUACUCUUUUCUCUGAGACAAAGCAGGAAGUUGCCCAGACUUAAAAAAAAGAGUUGCUUUUGUUUCUAAGGAAGUGGAUUAAUUAACCAUUUGUGAUAUUAACUAAUUAACCUAAUCUACAUAUACUUUUCAGACAGAAAAAACAUAGUAAUGUUGCAAAAUGCAGGACCCAAGAAUUGUCAACGCUCAAGGGCACUCAAGGGGCUCUCUUCUCUAAGACCCCUUUCUCAGUGAGAGGAUUCUACACUGUUGACCCCUCUCUCAGUGAAGAUGCUGGAGAGUUUUGGCACCUGUUCCCACUAACUUACUUUCGUGACUUGGAUUAUGACCUCCCCAUGUAAGGGAAGGCAGUAUAGUUACUGCCCCAUCCCCAUUCCUACCACUGAAAUAAAAUUCAUGUCUCCUACACUUCUAAACACUACUAGAUUCAAAUAGGCUGACAAUCUGCAACUCCACCUAAAGAUCUCUCAAAUCUUGCAGAAGCAAAUGGGGCAUGCAUGUUUCUCUUCAAAUCUUCUCAACCCUCCUUGGACUUCAGCCAUUGCUGCCCAACCCAUUCUAUACUGCUUUGACCACCUUUGCACAAGCAUAACCUGACAGACUUCUCUUAGAACCACACAGUUUACCUACAUCUCACUUUCUACUCCAGAGCUUCUCCAGUACAAUGAUGUGGGAUACUGUGGCAAUUCGCCUGGCACACACAUGUACAAUGGGAUGUUAAUUCCCAAAGGUCACCCUUGAUCAGUGGAAGAUGGGACUCACAGGAAUCCAGUGUGUAAAUAUGUUUCCAUUUCUUCUGUCAAAAAAUAAUUCAGAGACUCAUCUAAUAAUGCUCCCCAAGGUGGUCACUUGCAGUGGUGUCCAAUACAAUUGGCCUACUGUCCUUUCACUUUACUAUCCAUAACUCUUCCUCUUCCCUCUAAGAUCUCGUUCCACCCUAAGGACUUAACAUACACAACUCUGGCUCAGCCUCUGUAUUUGAAGAAACCCAGGUUAAAACAGAGAUACCAAAAGUAGCCACAGAAAGCUGUCAGGAUGGGAUUUUGGAACUAGCAAUAAGCACUAAUUGCUGGUUGUAAGUAAGGUAGGCAUAACUUCAAUAGUUUCAUAUAUCCAAAAAUAGUCCUACAAAUAACAUAUUCUAAUAAAUCAUAUAACAAUCAUAUAAUGUUUUUAAUCUCUCAAUAAUAAAAAUGUAUCAACUAUGCUAGAGGAAACUUUGAAUUAUCUUUCUAGUUUCUCUGUAGAAAAUGUUACAAAGUUGUCAUAUGGAGAAGAAAUCAAAGUGUAUACAGCUAUAAAAAGUAAGAUUAAUAGUAUUAUGCAUUUGAGAUUGGGCAUAAAUUUUAUGUUUUUUUUUUUUUUAUUUUCUAGUGUUUUGUGGUAUUAUUUCAGGGGUUGGUAAGUGACCUGAGCUAGUCUAAUUUGAAUUUCAGAUCUUAUGAUGAUGAACGGGCAUUUUCGCUGGAUUCAAACCUGAAAGAUUAUUGUCCCAGGGGCUAUAAGCUACUUUCUUGAAAGCAUGUAGGCUUAGAUAAUGGAGCCAAUAGCAACUAGGAAAUGCUAAAAAUUAAGAAAGAAGAAAAUAAUUUGACUCCUAGAAUAAGUGGAAUCUGAAACCACUGUUCCAUUAUAUGAGGCAAUAAAUUCCUCUUUCUUAGACAUUUGAGUUGGAUUUUCCAUUACUCACUACAGAAAGCAAAGGUACACAGGGAUUACUAUCCUCUUGAACACAAUGAAUGACAAAACAUUUGGCUUUUUUCUGGUAUAAAAACCAUAUCUAAUUAUUUCCAAUGUUAUUUCAAACAUGGCCCAUGACAUCCUGAGUAAACUGUACUUAUUCCUCAUUCUUAAUUUUCUUAUGAUUGCUUCAGGGAAAACUAUUUUGGUUUUCAUUAGUUUAUUUUCUCUGAUUUGCAUUCUUAUAGCACCUUAUAUUUCAUUUUUAUAUUAUAUAUAAAUAGAUGAUAGAUUGAUAAAUAGGUAGACAGAUGAUAGAUAGAUGAUAAAUUUGUCUUCUGUAUCUCCCAUAAGACUUUAAGCUCCAAGAGGGAGGCUUACCAUCUUCAUUUAUUUUCAAAGGUAUAUGCCUGGCAUCAAGCCCAAUGUCUGUAUGAAAAGAAUACUAGUUAAGUGAGAAAAUAGUGCCUGAUGGAAUGAUAGAAUGAAUGAAUUAUUUAACUCAUAUAAACAUGAAAAGCCAGAAUCUUCAAAUUGCUAAUAAAUACAUGAGUAUGUAUAUACCAUAUACAAUUAUGUAUGUAUACUUAUUUUAUACAUAUUUGUGUAUGUAUGUGUGUACAUAUAUAGAUACAUAUAUGUGUGAACUUAUAUAUGUAGACACACAGAGAAACAUACAUGUUAAAGAAUGUGAAGGGAAGAUCUAUACAGGCCUGAAUGCCAUGUAAUAGUCACAGUGCUCAGGAUCCCUUGAAAACCCAUUUGAUCUUAGAGUGGAGUAGGUAGUAGAGCAGAUGACAGAAAAAGAGGAAGGUAUGCUCUAAAUGCAAUCAGCAAAUACUAUUUUGUUUUAUGUUGAGAUAUUUUUUUCUACACAAAUUACAUAAGAAAAUUAUACUAUCUUGGUAUAAUAUGUGUGAUGAGGAUGGCUAAACAUUUGCAAUAAGAAUAAGUCAUUAAAUAUCCUGGGGCGAAAAUACCCAUAAUGAAAUACAAAUGAUCUCCUUGGUGAUUGUGGAUGCCAUGGGACAGAACACCAACCACAAGAAAAGAGAUUACCUGACUAUAAAGCCAAACUGACUGCAACCCAGGAAGUCACAACUGACUCCAUUUCUACCAUAGCCAAAUAAGGCAGCACUAUUCACAGAAGCCAAGACAUGGAAACAGCAUAAAUGUCCAUUGACAGAUGAAUGGAUUAAGAAGAUAUGUUAUAUAUACACAAUGGAAUACUAUUCAGC